rnacentral:rRNA from 1 species
UACGGGGGGGGCAAGCGUUGUUCGGAAUUACUGGGCGUAAAGGGCUCGUAGGUGGCCAACUAAGUCAGACGUGAAAUCCCCAGGCUCAACUUGGGAACUGCGUCUGAUACUGGAUGGCUUGAAUUCGGGAGAGGGAUGCAGAAUUCCAGGUGUAGCGGUGAAAUGCGUAGAUAUCUGGGGGAAUACCGGUGGCGAAGGCGGCAUCCUGGACCGAGAUUGACACUGAUGAGCGAAAGCUAGGGGAGCAAACGGG